rnacentral:rRNA from 1 species
GACGAACGCUGGCGGCGUGCUUAACACAUGCAAGUCGAGCGGUAAGGCCCUUUCGGGGGUACACGAGCGGCGAACGGGUGAGUAACACGUGGGUGACCUGCCCUCAGCUCUGGGAUAAGCCUGGGAAACCGGGUCUAAUACUGGAUAUGACUCCAUGACGCAUGUUGUGGGGUGGAAAGCCUUGUGCGGCUGAGGAUGGGCCCGCGGCCUAUCAGCUUGUUGGUGGGGUGANGGCCUACCAAGGCGACGACGGGUAGCCGGCCUGAGAGGGCGACCGGCCACACUGGGACUGAGACACGGCCCAGACUCCUACGGGAGGCAGCCAGGUGGGGGAAUCUCGCGCAAUGGGGCGAAAGCCUGACGCAGCGACGCCGCGUGAGGG